ensembl:snRNA U6 U6 spliceosomal RNA
GUGCUCACUUUGGCAGCACACAUACUAAAAAUUGGAAUGAUACAGAGUUUAGUGUGUCCUCUGCUCAAGGAUGACAUCCAAAUUCAUGAAGUGUUUCACAUCUUA